AGAAUGAACGUUGGCGGCGUGGAUUAGGCAUGCAAGUCGCGCGCCCCGCAAGGGGAGCGGCGCAAGGGUGAGUAAGGCGACGGUAACCAACCCCACAAAUGGGUAUAGCCGCGGGAAACUGCGGGUAAUUCCCAGCGACGUCAGUGAAGGGCAUCCUUCGUUGACCAAAGUUCCGGCGUUGUGGGACGGGCCGUCGUGGUAUUAGCUUGUUGGCGGGGUGACGGCCCACCAAGGCUACGAUGCCUACCGGGCGUGCGAGCGUGGCCCGGCACACUGGGACUGAGACACUGCCCAGACUCCUACGGGAGGCUGCAGUCGAGAAUCUUCGGCAAUGGGCGCAAGCCUGACCGAGCGACGCCGCGUGGAGGACGAAGGCCUUCGGGUUGUAAACUCCUGUCGAGGGGGAGGAAGGCGUAAGCUUGACCGAUCCCUGGAGGAAGCACGGGCUAAGUUCGUGCCAGCAGCCGC
rnacentral:rRNA from 1 species